rnacentral:lncRNA from 1 species
AUUGUUGGGCAGUCUUUUCCUGGAUUGAGCCGAAUCCCAUCUCAGUGGAAUACUCCUUCCCCAGCACCGCUAGGCCCAGUUCUUACUGCCAGGCAUUAUGGGAGAUGCCAAAUAGCACAGGUCAUGACUCCUUCCUGGAGCUUCAGGCGGAGAAGAUGGACACUUGAAGAUAAUUUAUAUGUAAUAUAGUAAUCCUGUGAAUAAGCAUUUUUUUAAAGAAACGAAAACAUUCAGAAAGGUUAAAUUAAUUACUGCAUAUAUUACAAUGAAAAGAUUGUUAAAAGGGCAGAUUAGAAUGUUAAAUGGGUUUUAUAAAGGAUGUAAGAUUUAAGUGGCGUUGUAAAAGUACUGAAUCAUGUGUCUGGUUCACUUCCACUGACCAAAGAGGUGCUAAAUGACACAGCUGAGAGUUAUCUUCAAGGAAAACAAUGUGUGCACAUCUUGACUCUGUUAAGACAGUAAAGAAUCUUCUAGGUCUCAUGAUAAAUUAAUUAUCUUAUGAUAUUUAUCUGUUAAUUUAUAGUGGGAAGGACUUCAAAUAGACAAAAGAAAACUCUGACCCUGUCAGGUUGCUGGAACACUGAGAGGUACCUCCAUCAGAGAUGGGUGACAUCUCCAUCCUGGGAGAUCAGCAGAGGUCAUCAGACAACCGUUGGUCCUAAAUGCUUCACUUAGCUGCCAGAAGGCAGGGGCCUAGAAGGAAUCAUCCCUUCAGAUCCCUUUCAGAUCUGAGAAUCUGAUCCUGACUGACUGAUUCAGAGGGAGAAGAAAACAGAUGGAAUAUUUGCCUGCCUACUGUAAGGACAAACACAAAUUAAAAUAAGAGGCUUAACUCUUCCUGUUGAAAAUAAGGCAAAAGACUUUUUUCUCUCCCAUUUCUUUCAGCAUUUCUUUCAAAUCUUCAUAAUGGUAAAUAAGCCUCUUGCCAGUCUCACGACUCAGAAAUGCAAGAAUUAAAGGUGACCUCUUUCACGGAAACGCCCACCUUUCUCUACUGUGCCACUCCCUCUGCUCCUCCUGCCUCACUUUACCCUCCCUGCCUCAGACUGACUCCUGGGAAGGGGUAAACGAUGAUCUUUUACAUGGUGGUUCCUUUCCUUGCUGGGUUUCCCUGAGAAGGACAUAACUUUUUUAGCUGAUAAUGUGUUGCCUGCCCUGUUUGAAGAUGUAGAAUUGUGUGCCUGCUGGCCCAGCCCCGAGUCCACUUCAGGUCCUAGACCAGAUUCCACCUCCAAGAGUCCCCUUCCAUGCACACACCACUUCGCUGGAAAGGCAGAAACGGUAAAGAUAAAUGAUCAAGAUCACGGGAUGAUGAGACUGUGUCCCCAUACGAAGGCAACAGGAUGGAGAGUAGUUGCACUAGUUACUUGGGAAAAGAUAUACAAGAAAGGAAUUAGGCUGAUAAAUAUCAAUAUGGGAAAAGAAACCAAGGUGCCAUGUAAUCCUACCCUUUUCCCAUCUCCAUGUGAGGAAAACCAGCCCUUCCUACUCAAUCUCCAGCAAAGUUGAUGCUGCUGAGAAGCUAUCCAGGCCUCUCAGGCACAAAGGAAAUAUUAAGAGUUCAUGUGUUCUCCUCUCCUGCUGAUAACAUUAAUCUAAAGGCUUUUUCCCAGUGCCCUGGGAAGAUCCACAGAAGUUUGCAAAAAUGCUCUGCGGCGUGUUUUCAGUUUACAGCCACACGUGGGGAUGUUGUGCUAGAUGCUGCAGGGAAUUCUGCAGCCAGCAGAUUUCGCUUAUUUGAUGGAGCAUGCUCAUCGUGGACCCGGAGAUGGGGUGCUGCGGCCAAGAGAAGUCGACUCUUCAGCACUCCAUCCAACCAUGGAAGGAUUAGGUGCAUUAGAGACCCCCAAGAGGGGUUGCUAAGGACAGGACUUGAAGCCUCUCUGAUAAAUGUGCCCUGGGAGAAGUUGCAGCAGUGCAUGCAGAAGAUAGGUAUUGGUGCUUUCUCUGCAGUUUCCUCGGAAACUUCCCGCUUUCUGCCUGACAACAAUUGUACAAGUUGUUAGUUUCCAGCCAGCCCUCUUGUCCCUCUCCUCUGGAGCCCACACACAUGGUGCGCUUACUGACGAGCAUGUGUUCUCGCUCUUUUCUGAUUUCCUGAAAACCUCCUGAGGAGAGACCUCUGAAGACUGAAGCCCACAACAUUCUGUCCUCUGGAUGGAGUAUUCAUGGAGCGCCCUGAAAAAAAGGCACCUGAACUGGUUAUCGUGUGCCUUCUGGAAGAAAAGGGGAUGGCAGAAAGCAGCAGUCUCCUGCCACGCUGGAAAAGCCCCCGAACGACCAAAUCGGUGCAUUGCUCUGAAGCCUAGGGGUUAACGGGAUUGAUUUAACACGAGAUCUAGAACCAGUAAAAAUAGGUGACAAGAAAGAUAAGCCAUGGCCACGCGUAAACAGUAUCCACUGUUGAGAGCUUAAUUAGAAGAAAUAAAGCUGGUUAUAAAAGAAUUAGAAAAUUAGGGGUGGGGCCACCCAGUAGCCUAGCAGUUAAGUUCGGCAGCCCAGGUUUGGUUCCUGGGCACCAACCUACACCACUCCUUGGUAGCCCUGCUGUGGCAACAACCCACAUACAAAAUAGAGGAAGAUCAGCUCAGGGUGAAUCUUCCUCAAGCAAAAAGAGGAAGAUUGACAACAGAUGUUAGUUCAGAGCAGAAUCUUCCUUAGUAAAAAAAAAAAAAUUAAGGAUAAUUAAAAAGGGACAUUCACCCUUGUAAUACUUCCAAACUUCUAGUAAGAAAGGAAGGUAAAUUUGAUAAAGCUGGCCAGCCACUAUAUGAAUAUAGAUUUGUAGAAGAUCUUAGAGAAAUAAACAAAUUUAUUGUCCCAUUGACCUUGUAGUCUCUAACCCUGCAGCUAUUCUGACUUUGAUACCAUCAUCUGCAGAGUAUUUCUCUGAUGGAUCCAUGUUCUGCUUGUUUUUUUCUGUUCCUCUAGUGGACAAGUCUAAAUUUUUGUUUUGUUUGCUUUUACUUAUGAAGAAGCCCAAUAUUUGUGGCAAAAAAUCGCUCAACGGUUUCAAGACUCCCCUCCUAUCUUCUCUAGUCAUUUAUAGGAAAAAUUUGUCCCACCAGAGGGAUCUGUGACCAUACAACAUGUCGAUGAUUUGCUGGUAGCCUCAGAAACUAAAGAACAAUGCAAGACUGAUACUUGGCUUUACUGCAGGUCCUUGUUUCACAGGGUCCUAAGGCCUCAUUAGACAAAUUGCAACAUUGCCAAGCUGGAGUAAAUACUUAUGGCAUCUAUUGUCAGCUGAAGGCCAUAAAGUAUUACAAUCUGGGAGGCAGCCAAAUUUGCAUAUGAAACAGCCUACUACAAAAAAACGACUUAGACAAUUUUGAGGACUAGUAGGGUACUGUAGACAGCGGAUCCCAGAUUUUGCCAAGCAUGCACAGCCUCUGACAGAGCAAUUGCAUGAUAGCUCUCCAGACCCUCUGGUCUGGUCCUUAGAAUCUGAAGAGGCUUCUGAACAACUGAAACUGGCUAUAUCCUCUCCCCCAGCUUUGGGGAUUCUGGAUUUUGAAAAACCUUUCUACUUGUUUAGUCAUGACAAUAAUGAUGCUGCUGGUGGAGUAUUAACUCAAAGAUUGGGACUAGACCACAGACCAAUCGCCUGUUUCUCAGUUCUUCUAGAUGCUCUAGUACUGUGAAUGCCUGGAUGCCUCUGAGCAGUGGCAGUGGCAGCAGCCACCAUUCUUUGAAAGGGCCCAAGCUCUUACCUUGGGUCACCUGACUUAUUUGCAUGUCCCAUAUGCUACGACAGUGAUCUUACAGGUGCAUAAAACCCAGCAUUUGUCAGUGCACCAUCAAACUGACCAUGAGCCAGCAUUGUUCAGUCCCAAUAUUGUGCUUCGGAGGUGCGGUCUCCUAAACCCGUGACCCUCUUACAAGAUUCUGAUCAAAGAGAUGAUCACAAUUGUACAAUAGUGAUAGAAGAAGGUACCAGGCCUCACCCUGAUUUGUCAGACGGCCCAGUUCAAAAUGCGGGUUUGAUCAUGUCUGCUGGUGGGUAGGUACCCAGAGUACAAAUGGCCACCUUAAGGCUUCUAGUGCUGUAGUGACUUCUCAUGAAGUUUCGGAGGCCUGUUGUCUGUGUGGAAUUACAUUGGCACAAGCAGCUGAGUUCAUAGUUAUUAGCACUACAAUUCUUGGUUCUGGACUUAAAGUGAAUAUAUAUACUGAUAGUAGAUAUGUAUUUGGCGUCUGUCAUGCAACAGAUCAAAAUUUUUAAAAAUCAGAGUACUUUUGACAUGAGUGAGAAUUUUAAAAUCUCCUGUCCAAUUGAUAGCUGGUUUGUUAGGGGCUUUACAACUGCUUGCUCAGAUGUCAGUAGUUCAUUUUGCUGACAGAGCUGCAAACGCUGCCCUUAAAACAUGGCAGAGUCCAAACUUAAAAGCUCCACUUCUAAUACAACAAGAAAUGUUUGUUCAUCUUCAAAACCGUGCCUUGCAGAAGAAAGUGGACAAAAGGAUUAUAAAAGGGAUUAAAAGAAAUUUGGCUGGACUAUGGGAAUUACCGACCAAUCUAAUUCCCAUACCACAGUCCCUAUCUGCUCCGUUGGUGGUGUGUCAUCAAAAGAAUCACAGAAUAAAAGAGGGGUUUUAAAGAUUCAAAAAGGUAGAAUUAUUCAAAACACAUUACAAAGAGAUGUGCUGUUUGUCAACAGAGUUCUUUAGAGGCCUCUCCCAAGGUGAGCACAGAAACUUCUCCCUGCCUGCUUCACCAGGCACCUGGGGGCAGCUGGAUUUCACAGAGUUAGUGCCUGUGGAAGGUAAGACAUUUGUGUGCUUACGGUGUGUGUGACAUCUGGAUGACCUGGAGUCUUUCCCUCUUCACAGGCCGAUGCCCAGGCGGUGGUCCAGCCUCUCUUCCUAUGUUCAAUCAGAGGAAGUCACUCUAUUCCUACUGUUGUCUGGGAAUUAUGCAGAUGUUUGCAGGUUCCUGGAAGCCCCAGUCCUCUGGACAGGGAGACCCAGUGAAUCAAACUCUAAAGCAAAACAAACAAAACCUCCUUGAAUAAGAUUCAUCAUCUACCUGGUUAAAAUUGGCCUAGAGCACUACCGUUAGCCUUAUUAAAAAUUAGAAUGGGCCCUGGCCCAGUGGUGCAGUGGUUAAGUUUGCAUGCUCCCCUUCAGCAGCCCUGGGGUUUGCCUGGUGGAUCCAGGGCACGGACCUAUGCACUGCCUGUCAAGCCAUGCUGUGGUAGGCGUCCCACAUAUAAAGUAGAGGAAGAUGAGCACAGAUGUUAGCUCAGGGCUAAUCUUCAUCCAGGGGAAAAAAAAAGAAAACACAGAAUGGCCCCUGUAAGCAAGGAUGGAAUGUAUCCUUUUGAACUUAGUUUGUCAGGGCUAUAAAUUUGGGUCUGAGGCCAUGUUCUGUGUCCAAUUUAACAGAAUCCUCUCAUAAUUAUGUUCAAUACUUAAGAGGACUUGUCUUCCCCAGAAACCCUGAGACUUAAAGUCGUAAAGAUCUGGAAGGACCUGCCAGAGGAAGUCGGACACCCCAUCAACCGGGAGACUUCAUCUACCUAAAGGUGUUCCAGAAGAGAGACAGCUGUCACCGAGUCGGGAGGGACCCUUUCUGCUGUAAGCCUCUCAAAGUGAAAGAGCUCAGCUGGAGUCUUGCUUCCCGUGUGAAGCCGGCAUUACAGGAGGACUGGGUGGGCUUCCGCAAAGGGCCUAAAACUUAACUUUUCCAGAGUAACCAACUGGUGUUGACCUCAACUGAAAAGAAGUAUUCUAGAAAAUGUGUUACAAUUCUCAAAGGCUGCCUGGUUGUCCUGCUCGCAGCCAUGGUUAUUCCAUUUAAUUCGAAAAUCACGUUUAGUAGAAAACAAUGUUUUUUGUGACACUGCUCUUUCUUUCUGCACUCCCAGUGAUGGUUCCCACAACCACGUAGUUCUCAUCAGCUCUAAACCGGGCUCUCAGUAUGGACGUGCUCUGGACUUAAGUCCACUAGUUUGAUUAUUAGCAGAGGACACGUGGGACCAUCUUCACCAGUGAUCUUUGAUAAUAAAGUAAAAGUAAUUAAUAUGCACCAGGUGCUCAAGCUCUAAAUUUGGCACAAAAAAUGUUAACUGAUUGGAAAGAUGAUGUAGAAAAGAAAAACAUCUAAUUAAUAGACAGACAAAUAGAAACUGCAAAAGGCUGGUCUAAUGUCACUAGGUUAACAUUGGGGUUCAGGUUCUUUCUGGUCCCAGUAUGGAUGGAUAAACAAAGAUGAAUGCCUGUUAUGGAGAGAUUAUUCCCCCAAAGCAAAUACUAUACUGAAUUUUUAAGUUCAUAUUACAUUAAAUUGUCAUUCUGGAAACUGCUUUAUUUACAUUUACUCUAGACAUGCUGGACAUUUAGGUGCCUGCAAGUUGCCCAGAGAAAGGUUGAAACCACAAUGGAAAUAAUUAGAAGAUUGUGUUGUCAUUAUUUUAUAGAACACAGGGAGGAAACUGUAAGGACAGAUACAAAUUAAAAA